GUGAAUUCGAACCCUUAUCAUUCUCUCGCCCCGUGUAUAUUUUAACUACUGGACGGAGAACUGAUAAGGGCCCGUGUCACC
rfam:Lutzomyia longipalpis Contig13585, whole genome shotgun sequence.